rnacentral:other from 1 species
CAUCCCCUGCAGCGCCCGUUUGUGAACCGGAAAAACUCUUGAGCCUAAUACACUGCCCGGGGGACAGAGAGCUGAUAUUCUUGUGCAAGUCCGCCGCGAGCGGAAAGCCUGCGAUAUCACCGUUGUCCCCACCUGAACCUCUGGUUCAAGGGCGAAAGUUCACGACGGCGUCCGCGGAGGAUGC